GUAGGGUGCGAGCGUUGUCCGGAAUUAUUGGGCGUAAAGAGCUCGUAGGCGGUGUGUCGCGUCGGCCGUGAAAACUUGGGGCUUAACUCUGAGCGUGCGGUCGAUACGGGCAUCACUUGAGUUCGGCAGGGGAGACUGGAAUUCCUGGUGUAGCGGUGAAAUGCGCAGAUAUCAGGAGGAACACCGGUGGCGAAGGCGGGUCUCUGGGCCGAUACUGACGCUGAGGAGCGAAAGCAUGGGGAGCGAACAGGAUUAGAUACCCUGGUAGUCCAUGCCGUAAACGUUGGGCGCUAGGUGUGGGGACCAUUCCACGGUUUCUGUGCCGCAGCUAACGCAUUAAGCGCCCCGCCUGGGGAGUACGGCCGCAAGGCUAAA
rnacentral:rRNA from 1 species